GCGGGCGUAGCUCAAUUGGUAGAGCGUCCGGGGCCUAUCCUCCUUACCCUCGGGUUGGUUGCGAGUUCGAGUCUCGCCGCCCGCU
rnacentral:tRNA from 1 species